AGUGAACGCUGGCGGUAGGCCUAACACAUGCAAGUCGAACGGCAGCACAGGAGAGCUCGCUCUCUGGGUGGCGAGUGGCGGACGGGUGAGGAAUACAUCGGAAUCUACUCUGUCGUGGGGGAUAACGUAGGGAAACUUACGCUAAUACCGCAUACGACCUACGGGUGAAAGCAGGGGACCUUCGGGCCUUGCGCGAUUGAAUGAGCCGAUGUCGGAUUAGCUAGUUGGCGGGGUAAAGGCCCACCAAGGCGACGAUCCGUAGCUGGUCUGAGAGGAUGAUCAGCCACACUGGAACUGAGACACGGUCCAGACUACUACGGGAGGCAGCAGUGGGGAAUAUUGGACAAUGGGCGCAAGCCUGAUUCAGCCAUACCGCGUGGGUGAAGAAGGCCUUCGGGUUGUAAAGCCCUUUUGUUGGGAAAGAAAUCCAGCUGGCUAAUACCCGGUUGGGAUGACGGUACCCAAAGAAUAAGCACCGGCUAACUUCGUGCCAGCCGCCGCGGUAA
rnacentral:rRNA from 1 species